rnacentral:lncRNA from 1 species
GUUCAUUUAACUCUGGGAGAAGGUGUUAGGUAUUCCCGAGUCCCGUGAAAGUUACGGUUGCGUACUUGAUCCGGUUGGCUUUAAAGAAUACUCAAAUUGAGGCAAAACAAACGAAAGAAAAAUAAACACAUAAGUGGCUCGAGGUCGUCCCCACCUAAAUAAAAGAAAAUAAAAUAUGAGAAAAAUACCAAAAGUUUAUACUAUGCUCAUUCCACGAUAUCUGUCACAUCCUCCAAUUACAUUCACCGCAGGGGAUAUACAAAAUUCAAAGGGCAUUUUGCCAAGUAUAAAUUAAAGGGGACGACCUCUCACCUCAAAUAAAAAAUGAAAUAAAAGACCUAAUAUUUGCCUAGCCAAGUGUGGUCGGCCUAAAUAUGCUACUAGCGAAUAAUAUAAUAAAAUAAAAAAAUAAAAAAAUAAAUAAAAGGAAAUUUCUAAAUCAUGCUCAAAUUCUCUUGACCUUUUAUUUUUAUGUAUUUGGCCAAGCUCAAUUCCUAAGGCAUGUAAACAAUUUAAUCACUAAUGAGCUCGGCCUUUCCCUAAUACCCGCAAAUCAAGAAUAUUAUACUUCUAAAAGAUCAUCACUCAAUGUUCCUAACAAACAAGGACUUCCAAAAAUAUGAACCAAAAGAAAAGACGAGAAAGAGAGGUAAAAGAAUGAUAGAAAAGUUUUGCACUUAUACUAUGAAUAUUAGCUUAAUACUAGCAAACCUACUGAAGUCAAAAUGACGUAACUAGUCCACACAGCCAGCAAAACCUCAAGAAAUUGACCAAACAAUUUAAUAAAGUUUUGAAAAAUUAGGAAAAAAAAAGAUUUUAAACAACAUGUUAUACGAACUUCCUAAUCACUCAGGCACAAAUAUGUAAGCACCAUAUUUCUCUAAUAUAAAGCACACACUAAAUCUAUGAGAAUACCAAAAUUUAGACGGUUUUACAUGAUUUAAGAACUUUCAAUUGUUACGUCAUAGAAUAAAACUUACACUCAAUUUCUAUUUUAAUUUAUUAAGCAGAUUUUAAGAUCCUAAACCCAUUUCACUCGGCCAUUAUCAUAAAUUAAUUUCAAGCAUUAAACGAACACAUGAGAAAUGAUGAAGAUAUGGAACUUAAAUAGAAGAUUCCUUUAAAAUAACUCUGUUUGGGCGAAAUGUUUUGGAUGACAGAAAUCAACAACCAAACAGAGCACUCACAAAAUUAAUUAACAAAGCAGUAUCAACAAGAAAUCGCACACAUAAAAUUAAAAAGGGUAAACAAAUAGAGAAGAGAUAAAAAUGGACCUCAAGUGAGCAAACUUCUUUUAAUAUAUGAAUUUGAUAACAUCUAACUUCGGCAACCCAAAUCUGAACCGUAAAGAUGAAAAUGGCAAUGGAUUGACGGGAACUCGAACGAAUCAAACUCGAACAGCACCUCAACUCAUUCGACUUCCAUAUUUGAAAUCCAUGAUCAAAGGAAGGGACUGGAAUUUUGUUAUCUUAUUUUUUUUUGAAAAUUGGAAUCAAAACAGAAACAUUUCAUAUGCAAUUUUUCUAGAUUCAAGAGGAAAAUUAAGAAAACUAAACUGAAUUUUUUUUUGUUUUUCUGGAAUUCAAGAGGAAAAUCGACAAGUAAACUGAAUUUUGUUUUUGUUUUGAAACUCCAAGAAGAGAAACCCUAAAACUUU